rnacentral:rRNA from 1 species
UGGGGAAUAUUGGACAAUGGGGGGAACCCUGAUCCAGCGACGCCGCGUGAGUGAAGAAGUAUUUCGGUAUGUAAAGCUCUAUCAGCAGGGAAGAAAGAAAUGACGGUACCUGACCAAGAAGCCCCGGCUAACUACGUGCCAGCAGCCGCGGUAAUACGUAGGGGGCAAGCGUUAUCCGGAUUUACUGGGUGUAAAGGGAGCGUAGACGGCAGCGCAAGUCUGGAGUGAAAUGCCGGGGCCCAACCCCGGAACUGCUUUGGAAACUGUGCGGCUCGAGUGCGGGAGAGGUAGGCGGAAUUCCUAGUGUAGCGGUGAAAUGCGUAGAUAUUAGGAGGAACACCAGUGGCGAAGGCGGCUUACUGGACCGUAACUGACGUUGAGGCUCGAAAGCGUGGGGAGCAAACAGG